ensembl:lncRNA
CUGUUAGAUCUGGAGAGCCGCCACCACCACUUCAGCUGAAUGGAGCAGCUCAAGGUACUUCUAAGGCGUUGAGACUCUUAGUGCUAGUCUGGCGACUCUGGCCGCUAGGAACCGGGUGAAUCGCAUCUGGGAUUGUUAGUGUUUCACUGCUGUAUUUGUGCUCAAAUCUGGUGAAAAAGGUCUCAUGUAGGCCUACAGUAUGAUUCAUUAGACACCAUCUUUGGUCAGAUUAUGGGACUUGAAGACUAGAUAUACUGUAGGACACAGGUGAUUCUCUUGUUAGUCCCAAACUAUUGAAGGAUUGUAUUUUUCCAAGGUAAAACCAUGGCCUUUCUCAUCACCUUGGGACAGAUGCUACUGCUCACAACAGUUAUCUUCCACCACACAGGAUCCCUCCCUCUGUGGGAGAGGUAAGAUUCUCUUUUCCACUCAUUUAGAGAUCACCUUCACUCCAUUUGGUCCUCUGCAACUACAUCAUUUCAACCAGUUUUGCCCGCUGGGAUCAUACAUAGGUAAUAUAAUAAUUGAUUUGAUUUAGCAGACACUUUUAACUUGGUGGUUCCGGGAAUCAAACCCACUAUCCUGGCGAUGCAAGUGCCAUGUUCUAGCAACUAACCUAUAGAGGACCAUGUGUAGUGGGUGUACGUAGCUGGUGUAUGUUAUCCGACAACAUAAUAUCAUAUCAUCUCAUCACCACAGUAACCAAGGGGAUCUGGAGGGGAUCAUCGGGAGUGAGAUCAGUCAUUUAAACACCCAGUCCCUGUUCGCCAGGAACUAUGUGAAUGCCCUGGUUGAAGCCAGACUGAGGUAAGUUACAGAGUCCAUGCUCCUCAUAUCAACCAGUCUCUCUUACUAUGGGGGCUUCAUGUGUGACAUGUAACUGCAUUAGUUAAGUAUCCUAAUAAGAACAUAUUGGCAAUAUAAGCACGAGUACUCACGUUUUCACCAUUUCAAUUAUCCCCCUGUUAUUCCACUCAAUCCAGAUCGGGCCCACAGACGAGACAGUUGGGGGACAUUGAGUUUUCCAACCGAUACGCUGAGUACUUGAGGUCCAAAGCUAAGCACAGCUCAAUCUGCGCGUUCCUCCGACGCAUGCAGAGUGCUAAGAAAAGUGGGUUAGGAGGAGAUACAGAGAAGGUCAACCUGCUGUUGAAACAGUACAUGUGUCCCAAUGUCUACCACUGGGCGGCUGAGUUAUAACUGGAGGACAACAGGGCUGGAAAUGUGGGAAACGACUGAAGUCUCCAACCUGGACUACUAUGGAAGUCUGACUGCCUAAUGUUACAGUAGUAACCAGUGGGCUGUUUGAACAUUUUAAGAUAAUCUAAUAGAAUUUGUUGUUUGUAUGUUUAAUCAGUCAUGGAAGGUUAUGACAUUUGGAGGUCUCAGAGGGUAAUAAAUAUGGUUUAUUAAUUCGACUAAUCUGUAGUUAUUUGAAUGACUUUUUUCUUCCAGAAGGAACUUCAGUUGUGGCAAGUUGGAUAAGAUAAAUCUAACGAUGUAUAGUGAACAUAUAAACAGCAACAUUCACACAUGACAGAUAUAAACGCUUACAAGGUAUGUGCAAGGUAAAUGUAAGUUACACAACUCUAUUUAAUUAAAGAGCUGUGCUCUACAAGACAAACACAAGUCACACAAAUAAAAUGUUCACUUAAAAGAUACUGAUAUCGGUACAAAACUGUAGUGGCUCUCUUGGUUUAAAGAGCUAAGAACCGGAGUCUGUGCCCUGAUGGCAGUAUCUUAUAUUGGCUGUUCAGUGGAUGUGUAAGAUCCAAAACUAUUUAUUUACCCCUCUUACAUGUGCACUCUUUGUAAAUGUCUCAGAAAGACAGAUAUGGCUAUCUCCUACCUGUACCACCAGUGUCAGUAAUGACGUUCAUGAUUAAACAUUAACAAACUAUUCAGAAAUAUGUUCUUUAUUAUCUGAAACAUAUGAAAACAUUUAGAAGCAUGAUUAUUUAUGAUUAUUUAUGAUUAUUUAUGACACUUUUAAAAGUAAUGGCUAAUUUAUGAAAGUUCAAAAAAAAAAAAAAAA